CUGGUUGAUCCUGUCAUAUUCUUGUCCCAAAGAUUAAGCCAUGCAAGUCUUAGUACACACUGUUGGUACAGUGAAACUUUGAAUGGCUCAUUCAAUCAGUUGUGGUUCCAUUGAUCGCCCCAAUGUUACUUGGAUACAUUAGCUGUGGUAAUCCUAUAGAUAAGAUAUGCCAACAAGUGUUGACCUUCAGGGACACAUGCAUUUAUCAGACCCAAAACCCAUACAGGGUGCUCUCGGGUGCCCUGGACGCUUUUGGUGAAGCUUUGUGCCACUGGCGUCUCAUUCUAAUGUCUGCCCUAUCGAUGGUAGUUUCUGUGCCUACCUUGGUGACCACGGGUAACGGGGGAAUCAGGGUUUGAUUCCGGAGAGGGAACCUGAGAAACGGCUACCACAUCCAAGGAAGGCAGCAGGCAUGCAAAUUACCCCUCCUGACUCGGGUAGGUAGUGACGAAAAAUAACAAGACAGAAGUCUUUCAAGGCCCUGUAAUUGGAAUGAAUACGCUUUAAAUCCUUUAACGAGGAUCCAUUACUGAUGUUACAAGCAUU
rnacentral:ncRNA from 1 species